GACGAACGCUGGCGGCGUGCUUAACACAUGCAAGUCGAACGGUGAAGGGGUCUGCUUUUGUGGGCCCUGGAUGAGUGGCGAACGGGUGAGUAACACGUGAGUAACCUGCCCCCUUCUUCUGGAUAACCGCAUGAAAGUGUGGCUAAUACGGGAUAUUCUGGGUCUGUCGCAUGAUGGGUCUGGGAAAGAUUGCGCCUUUGGGUGUUUUUGGUGGGGGAUGGGCUCGCGGCCUAUCAGCUUGUUGGUGGGGUGAUGGCCUACCAAGGCGGUGACGUGUAGCCGGCGUGAGGGGGUGGACGGUCACACUGGGACUGGGUUACGGCCCAGGCUCGUACGGGAGGCAGCAGUGGGGAGUAUUGCACAAGGGGUGCAAGCCUGAUGCAGCGACGCCGUGUGAGGGAUGGCGGCCUUCGGGUUGUAAACCUCUUUCGCCAGUGAAGCAGGCCUGCUCCUUGUGGGUGGGUCGACGGUAGCUGGAUAAGAAGCGCCGGCUAACUACGUG
rnacentral:rRNA from 1 species